GAGAGAGAGAGAGAGAGAGAGAGAGACAGACUAAGGAACCUUCUCCUGCCUCCAAUUCUUUCCCCUUCCUGUCUCGUGGCCAUCAGAGUCAUCCUGACUUGUAACCACAUGGAAAUAAUAUUCACAUAUUCACAUGUGGAAAUAACUAAAGCAAAGGCUGAACAACAAAAAUCGCACCUAAAAUGCCUUAAUAUAGACUCUCCCUGUGCUCACUAGUCUGCUCUCUAGCCAUCAGAUCCCAUGCCCUUCAUGCCUCUGGACAACCCUACAAUUCCUACCCCAGUCAGAGCCUCUUUCCUGACCUCAUGUUCUACUUUAGAACUUCAGAAAAAUAUCCUUUUGCUAUGACACCAUAUUUCUUGACACUAAAGUCACUGAGUUUGAGAAUCUGGAGAACAAAUGUCAUUGUCCAGAAAGUUUGGGGAAGUCGAGGCUCAAAUCCGGUCUCCCACAGCAACCGUUCUUCCUGCCCACUACCUACAGCUCUCGGAAUUCCCAGGAUGCUGCUGUUCUCUACCUUGGAACACUCUCCUCUUUCUACACUGAUGAAUCAUCAGGAUAAUGAGAAAGAGGAAAAUACAGUGUCCCAUGAUGAAACCGAGGACACUGGCCACAAAAAAGAUCCCCGGACUGGGAUUUGAGUGGAUCCCUGAGAAGUACAUGCUGGGAGUAUGAGAAAGGCAGUGACCUAUUCCCUCUGAGGAGGCUACCAGCCUCUCACAAUCUGCCAUUGUGCCAGCAGCUGUGACUUCAUCGUCCUGAUACCACAGGUGUCAUUGGUGAAGACAAGGACCUUCCUAGUCAUCCCCAGAUUCAGAAAUGUUCCUUUCAGCAGUCCAUUCAAACCCUGGGCCCGGGAUCUUCUUUGUGGCAAGUAUCCUUGGUUUCAGCCUGGGACCUUGCUUCCUCCUUUUUCUCCUUCUCCUGAUGAUGCAUCAAUGCAGAAAGAAAUCAAAAUGCCAAGGUAGCUUUAGAAAAACACCAGGAGCCUGGAUUGCCAAAAGCUGUGGGCAGUGGGUGGGAGGCGCCACUUGUUUGGGAUACAACGUCACUUGUUCCCCCAAACUCUCAGACUGUGUGUCUUUGGGAUAGAAAUAUCAAGGAAGCACGGUGUCAUUUAUAAGAGCAGUAAGGAGAAGAAGAAGAUCUGGGAAACGAGAAACUUCUGCAGGAGGAAGAGAAGCCCUAUGUUCAGGUUGCUGAGUUCAGAGAGUCUAGGAUCUCACUGGAGGAGAAAUCCAUGUGCCUGUACUGACAAGCUAUACUACGGUCCAGGCUAGAAGUUCAGAGACUGCCAUAGUGGUACUAGGAUAGGACCAUGACACAUUGUGUUCCCCUUUUACAUAAGUUCUCCAAUAAUAAACACUUUGGUCCUACUCA
rnacentral:lncRNA from 1 species